UAUAACCACUAGGGGUGUCGAAAGACUGAGAGAGGCGAAUCCUCAACUCUUGGAACCUGAUCUAGUUCAUACUAGCGAAGGGAAGUGGCGCAUUUCGUGA
rnacentral:ncRNA from 2 species